CCUACGGGUGGCUGCAGUCGAGGAUCUUCGGCAAUGGGCGCAAGCCUGACCGAGCGACGCCGCGUGUGCGACGAAGGCCUUCGGGUUGUAAAGCACUGUCGAGGGGGAGGAAAGCCCGCAAGGGCUUGACCUAUCCCUGGAGGAAGCACGGGCUAAGUUCGUGCCAGCAGCCGCGGUAAGACGAACCGUGCGAACGUUGUUCGGAUUCACUGGGCUUAAAGGGCGCGUAGGCGGACUGCCAAGUCCGGGGUGAAAGCUUUCGGCUCAACCGGAAAAGUGCCCCGGAUACUGGCGGUCUCGAGGGGGAUAGGGGCAGCUGGAACUUCCGGUGGAGCGGUGAAAUGCGUAGAUAUCGGAAGGAACUCCGGUGGCGAAAGCGGGCUGCUGGAUCCCCUCUGACGCUGAGGCGCGAAAGCCAGGGGAGCAAACGGGAUUAGAUA
rnacentral:rRNA from 1 species